UUGGGUCGGGGAGUGCAGCGAUGCAUGUCGAACGGCAGCGCGAGAGAGCUUGCUCUCUUGGCGGCGAGUGGCGGACGGGUGAGUAAUAUAUCGGAACGUGCCCAGUAGCGGGGGAUAACUACUCUAAAGAGUGGCUAAUACCGCACACGCCCUACGGGGGAAAGGGGGGGAUCCCUUCACCUCUCACUAUUGGAGCGGCCGAUAUCGGAUUAUUCUAGUUGGUGGGGUAAAGGCUCACCACGGCGACGAUCCGUAUCUGGUUUGAGAGGACGACCACCCACACUGGGACUGAGACACGGCCCCCACUCCUACGGGAGGCGGCAGUGGGGAAUUUUGGACAAUGGGGGAAACCCUGAUCCAGCCCUCCCGCGUGUAUGAUGAAGGCCUUCGGGUUGUAAAGUACUUUUGGCAGAGAAGAAAAGGUACCUCCUAAUACGAGGUACUGCUGACGGUAUCUGCAGAAUAAGCACCGGCUAACUACGUGCCAGCAGCCGCGGUAAUACGUAGGGUGCAAGCGUUAAUCGGAAUUACUGGGCGUAAAGCGUGUGUAGGCGGUUCGGAAAGAAAGAUGUGAAAUCCCAGGGCUCAACCUUGGAACUGCAUUUUUAACUGCCGAGCUAUAGUAUGUCAGAGGGGGGUAGAAUUCCACGUGUAGCACUGAAAUGCGUAGAUAUGUGGAGGAAUACCGAUGGCGAAGGCAGCCCCCUGGGAUAAUACUGACGCUCACACACGAAAGCGUGUGGAGCAAACAGGAUUAUAUACCCUGGUAGUCCACGCCCUAAACGAUGUCAACUAUCUGGUGGGGCCGUUAUGCCUUAGUAGCUCAGCUAACGCGUGAAGUUGACCGCCUGGGGGAGUACGGUCGCCAGAUUAAUACUCAUAGGAAUUGACGGGGACCGCCCCAGCAGGUGGAGGAUGGGGGAUUAUUUCUUUGCAACGCCGAAAAACAUUACUUACCCUUGAAUUGGUUGGGAAGACCAAAAAAAAUUUGGCCGGGCUCCCAAAAAAAACCGGAACCCAGGGGU
rnacentral:rRNA from 1 species